rnacentral:rRNA from 1 species
ACACAAAUAUAAUCAUACUAUUUUAUAAAUCAAAACAUUUAACCCACUAAAAAGUAUUGGAGAAAGAAAUUCGUACACCUAGGAGCUAUAGAACUAGUACCGUAAGGGAAAGAUGAAAGACUAAUUAAAAGUAUAAAUAAGCAAAGAUUAAACCUUGUACCUUUUGCAUAAUGAAUUAACUAGAAAACUUCUAACUAAAAGAAUUACAGCUAGAGA